rnacentral:rRNA from 1 species
AGAACGAACGCUGGCGGCAUGCCUAACACAUGCAAGUCGAACGCUUGCCGAGGCUUCGGUUUCGGCAGGAGUGGCGCACGGGUGAGUAGCGCGUGGGAACCUGCCUUGGAGUGGGGGACAACCGAGGGAAACUUCGGCUAAUACCGCAUACGCCGGUUGUCUUGCAAGAGAUGGCCGGGAAAGAUUUAUCGUCUCCGGAGAGGGGCCCGCGUCGGAUUAGGUAGUUGGCGGGGUAACGGCCCACCAAGCCUGUGAUCCGUAGCUGGUCUGAGAGGAUGAUCAGCCACACUGGGACUGAGACACGGCCCAGACUCCUACGGGAGGCAGCAGUGGGGAAUAUUGGACAAUGGGCGCAAGCCUGAUCCAGCAAUGCCGCGUGAGUGAUGAAGGCCUUCGGUUGUAAAGCUCUUUCGCCCGCGACGAUGAUGACGGUAGCGGGAGAAGAAGCCCGGCUAACUUCGCGCCAGCAGCCGCGGU